GUCCACGCAGUAAACGAUGGAUGCUAGUUCUUUUGCGCAAGUGAGUGCUGAGGGACACAGCGAAAGCGUUAAGCAUCCCACCUGGGGAGUACGCCGGCAAACGGUGAAAACUCAAAAGGAAUUGACGGGGGGCCCGCACAAGCGGAGGAACAUGUGGUUUAAUUCGAUGAUACGCGAGGAACCUUACCCGGGCUCAAAACGACAGAGGAAUACUUUUGAAAGGAGGUAGCUCUACGGAGCCGCUGUCGAGGUGCUGCAUGGUUGUCGU
rnacentral:rRNA from 1 species